GAUGAACGCUGACAGAAUGCUUAACACAUGCAAGUCAACUGUGGCGGACGGGUGAGUAACGCGUAAAGAACUUGCCUCACAGUUAGGGACAACAUUUGGAAAAGAAUGCUAAUACCUGAUACUGUGAGAGAGCUUUGCGUCCCAUUAGCUAGUUGGAGAGGUAACGGCUCACCAAGGCGCUGAGGGGUAGCCGGCCUGAGAGGGUGAUCGGCCAAAAGGGGACUGAGUGACGGUCCUUACUCGUACGGGAGGCAGCAGUGGGGAAUAUUAGACAAUGGACCAAAGUCUGAUCAAGCAAUUCUGUGUGCACGAUGAAGCUUUCGGAAUGUAAAGUGCUUUCAGUUGGGAAGCGGUACCAACAGAAGAAGUGACGGCUAAAUACGUGCCAGCAGCCGCGGUAAUAC
rnacentral:rRNA from 1 species